CCCUUCCCAGGCCUCCCAGAACCCGGCCAACCUUCAGGGCUCCACUCUGGGCCCUCCACCUCCAGGAAGAUCCCCUGGGCUACCUCUACCCAGCCAUCAAUCACUCCUUCUCAGGAACCAGAGGCCCUUCGUGUCUCACAGAACCCUUUCCAGGUGCCAUGAGGAGAUUUUUGCAGCCAGCCUGUGGGAGAGAGCUGCACUCCUGCCCCGCCCACCCACCAUUUAAUCAAGGCACCGAGAUGGACAGUGAUACCAGGCAGCAAGAGCCGUCUCACUAAGGAGCAGAGCCAGGAGGCCGUCCUUCCUCCACCUGCCUUGUCUGCCGGGAUGAAAGAGAAAUCAUCAAUACCCACCUCCUGACACACACUCCACACAGGGGAGGCUGAGACCCUGAGAGGGAAGGAGGUCAGCCAGGGUGGCCCCCCCAAGUCACGGCAGAAUAGAAACUGGACCUUAGGUCUCUGGAUACCCUUCCUAUUCAGUGCUCUCUCGGCUGCUAAUUUUCUCUCCUUCUGGGGGUGGGGGUGAGGACUCUGCCCCAGUGGCCCUUUCAUGCAUAUCUCCUCUGAGCCCAGUCUUUCGGUACUUGGGGCUAGGUCUUGAUUGGGCCAAUCCAUUGCCCUACCCACCCAUCAGUUCCCUCCUCACCCUACUAAGACUUCCUCAUCCCUCACUGGAGGGAGGUAUUCUCCCCACUUUACAGACAAGGAAACUGAGGUCCAGAGAGGGAAGGGACUAGCCUGGGGGCCCCACAGUAUCUCUCGGUGAGAUCCCAGGUCAGGAUCCCACCUGGGAGAUAUGGAGAUACACGCAUGUAGGCACGCACACACACAGGUAAUCUCCACCUAACAGAUUCUUCUUGCAGGAACAAGCUCACCCACCUACACUUCUCCUGUACCAGCAAAUCACGGUCAACCUACGACAACAGUGCCCUCUGUGCGCCCUGCCUGGCAUUCUAUGCAAAGGGUUGGGGGUAGGUUAGGCAAACUCCCCUCUGUGCUCCUUCAAUCCCCUGAGCAGACUGCAUCCCAGUCCUGGCCAUACCCUCCUUCACUGAUUUCAGAUGUGUCUCUUUGGCUGAAUGGAGGAUUCCUGAGGACAGGGAUCUGUAUACGUUUCUGCCACUUAGCCUAGGGACAAGCUUCUGGAGAGGGUUCAGAAGGGAAGCCCUGGGUGCGCUGUGCUUCCCCACUUCUCCCUCCAUCUUCAAGGGCUCCAUGAAUGCAGCGACUAUUAAUAAGCCUCCUGCAAAGUGGAUGGCCCUUCACUAUCUUCUUGUCAAUCUUCUCAAAAGCUUCAGGAAUUGGGUAAGGGGAGAGUAUUUCCCCCUCUUAACAGAUGAGGAGGCCCAGAGAGGUGGAGCGACUUAAUCCAGGGUCACACAGCUCCUGAGUGGUAGAGAUCGGGCUUAAAGCUGCCACAGCUGCACGAAUGAGGAGAUGAGUCUACAGGGGGAGGUAACAGGGCGUGGCACAUAGUAAAUGCUCAAAAAACUAGUUGAAUGAAUGAAUGAACAAAUGGGUGCACUGUGUGACUGCUAAGUCAACAGGAAGGGGAGCAGCUCAGGGGGUGGGGGUGGGGAAGCACUUAAUAUUUUUUUCCUUGUGUUCACGGGCCCCCUUCUUGGCUCCUCAAGCAGUGAUCAGACUUGGGGCAGAGUUUCUUCCCCUUCCUACCCCUCAGCCCCUGGGGUGGCGCCCCUUUCUCACCCACUUCCCCAGGCUGUCUCCUGUCCCUUGGCCUCUGCAGGCUCCUCCCCAGUUAGGCUGGGGGCCACUUGCAUGGAAGUUUGCCUCCCCAUCUCUGGAUAUGCCCCUGCUACCUGUGAGGCCCAGGACAAGGGCAUACAUGGAGGCGCCCUGCAGAUACCCACCCUCCCUCCAAACAGCUGUUCCUGAAAGUAUUUAACCCCUGGGAGGAUAGACUUUGUGGGCAGGGAGUCCUAGGGUCUUGGUUACACAAAGACUGGUCUAGAUCAUGGUGCUGGGGCUCUGGAGCACAUACGCCUUACCCCUUGAACCCUUUGCUCUGUGGGGAAAGAUAAGCCUGGAGGCCCAGAAAGGGCCCCCUAAAUCAUCUAAGGGUGGGGUCCCUCUCCCAUUCUAAUACGCUGUUCCAUGGGCCCUGGGAACCUUUCCUGGGACCAAGGCCACUUGCCCCUCUGGUCAAGGUGGUCAGAAAAACAAGCCCACUCCAAUGGCUAGUGGCUUUCUGUGGGCUGGUCAGCACUGGGCUCCCCACCAGCUCCAGGACCCGGCAGGGAUGCAGGAUGAUGUGAGGGGGGGUAGUGAGCCCGAAAGUGAGAGAGUAUGGGGCAUGGGGGAGGGGAGCUGACCUGCAGGGGGCCUUGCUCAGCUGCUUAUACACACACACCAAGACAAUAAAUCGACAAACACUUAAUCUCUCUGCAAAUUGA